AUUGAACGCUGGCGGCAGGCCUAACACAUGCAAGUCGAGCGGGGGUAGCAAUACCCUAGCGGCGAACGGGUGAGGAAUGCUUGGGAAUCUGCCUGGUAGUGGGGGAUAACGUUCCGAAAGGAACGCUAAUACCGCAUACGUCCUACGGGAGAAAGGGGGGGAUCUUCGGACCUCUCGCUAUCAGAUGAGCCCAAGCCGGAUUAGCUAGUUGGUGGGGUAAAGGCCCCACCAAGGCGACGAUCCGUAGCUGGUCUGAGAGGAUGAUCAGCCACACUGGAACUGAGACACGGUCCAGACUCCUACGGGAGGCAGCAGUGGGGAAUAUUGGACAAUGGGCGAAAGCCUGAUCCAGCCAUGCCGCGUGUGUGAAGAA
rnacentral:rRNA from 1 species